rnacentral:rRNA from 1 species
AUUGAACGCUGGCGGCAGGCCUAACACAUGCAAGUCGAGCGGUAACACAGGGAGCUUGCUCUCGGGUGACGAGCGGCGGACGGGUGAGUAAUGUCUGGGAAACUGCCUGAUGGAGGGAGAUAACUACUGGAAACUCAAGCUAAUACCGCAUAAUUUCUUAGGAAAAAAACUGGGGACCUUAGGGCCUGGCGCUUUAAGAUUAGCGUGCGUAAGAUUAGCUAGUUGGUAGGGUAAAGGCCUACCAAGGCGACGAUAGUUAGCUGGUGUGAGAGGAAGACCAGCCACACGGGAAGGGAGACACGGUCCAGACUCCUACGGGAGGCAGGAGUGGGGAAUAUUGGAAAAUGGGGGCAACCCUGAUCGAGCAAUCCCGCGUGUGAAGAAGGCCUGAGGGUUGUAAAGCACUUUCAGUGGGGAGGAGGGUAUUUAGGUUAAGAGCUAGAAUACUGGACGUUACCCACAGAAGAAGCACCGGCUAACUCCGUGCCAGCAGCCGCAGUAACAC